CCGUUUGUCAUCUCCAACCUCCAGCCUGGGAGUCGUCCUCGCAUAAGCGAACAGAACCGAACUCUCCCGAUUCCUUCGCUAAAUCUGCUCCGUUUCUAGCCCCCUUUUGCACGAAAAUUGUCCUAUAAAUACCCCAUAUUCUCCUCUGUUUUUGCCACUAAAAACCCUAGAUUUCGAGCCGCCAGGCCGCCAAAAUUUCUCGCUGGAGAUCGCCAUUGCCAGCCGCACAUCAAGCUCGAGCUUGAGAGCGACGGAACGAGCUGAAUCCGUCGCCGGAGUUCCGCCGAAGCAUCGCCGGAGUUGAGCACGAUCAGCCACUCAUCGCUGUCCUUUGGGGAAGUAAACGCGGUCUCCAACGAUACAGCCGGGACCACCGUGACGCACUGCUUCUCGUCGACCAUCCCGCGGUAACUGCAGACCAUCGCCCUCGAAACAUUAGAGGCUGUUGUCAUCGUCUUCUACAGCCGCCGGAUCACCGGUGAUCAUCGGAGCAGCCACCGGCACGACGACCUACGCCGGUGCCAACUUGGUGAGAGCUAUACCCGGUAACUUUGAGGACAGAGUGAAAUUCCAUAUUUAGGUCGCGAGCUUCCACUCAGCAGGUUCGCCUGUGGCGUGAUGGAGCUCUUUGAAUUUAUUUGUUUUCCGCUUUGAACUGUGUUAUUUGAGCUAGCCGUGAUCUAUGCAAGUUGUAAUAAAUAUAUUAUGGAUCAUACGUUGUAAUAAGUGACGCAUUAUUCUGUUUAUUCAUCGAACUGUGUGUGCUAGCGAUUGAUCCAUGGGACUAGCACUGUAUGCACAGAGAUCCAAUCCUUACGGGGUUGAAUCGCUUCAAUAUUGGUGUAGCCCGAUUGCAAGAUCUAGGUCAGAAUUAUAAUUUCUGCCGAGACUAUGUUAAGAUUUUUGACAUGAGAUUUUCUACUAGCUCAGAACUCGACUUGGGUUGUAUAAUCAGGAGAACCUCUUAAUUUGAUUUAUUGCAACUGAUUCA